rnacentral:lncRNA from 1 species
CGGGCGUUCCUUUCGUGUCCCCUUGAAAGCCCGGUCCUUGGGCUUGGAAUGAGACGGUUUGGGUAAUUAUGGGAGUGUGGCGAGGCUCAUGCCUGCUUUGGUCAGUAGAAUACAGCUGAAGUGAUGUUGUACCAGUUUUGCGUCUGGUCUUUACAAGCACUGGUAGCUUCAACUUUCUCCUUCUUGGUACUCACCCACCAUGUUGUAAGGAAACCCAAACAGCCACGUGGAAGACAGUUCUAGUUGAGCUCCCAGCCCAGAGCCUAUCCCAACUCUCCAGCCAUACCCUGACUUCCUUCAGCAAAGAGACAGCUUCUGAUUCAUGUUCGUCUCACCAUAAUAUACUUCCAAAAGUUACACUAGAUGUUAACUGAGCACUAAGGACACUACGUGAAAGACUGGAGUACAAACAUCCAAAGGACUGAAGAAUUUGAAGAGCACUGAAUGUGGGAGAUAGGACAGAGGAAAGGAGUCAAAUGUCUCCAAGAAACGAAGCCUGUGUGCCCUGGAGAAUGAAGAAGCAUCAUCAAAUCGGGGAGACUGAAGGAGGAAUCGGUUUUCAGAGAAAAACAAUUUAUAUUGUCUUAGCUGUGUUAGGUGGCAUACUAUUACAUUCAAGUGAAGCUGUGUAAUAGACAGAGAUGACAAAUUUUAUUCAUUUAUGAAUGCCCCCCAAAAUAUAUAUAUAGUUUUUGCCCUCAUGUCUCUUAUUGGGAUGACAGACAUAAAUCAAAGAAUUCCAUAAAUAAAUAUUAAAAUACAAUUUGUGAUAAAUGCUACAAAGUGGUACAUAUUCAUAUGGAAGCAUAAAGAGAACUGACCCGCU